UACAGAGGGUGCAAGCGUUAAUCGGAAUUACUGGGCGUAAAGCGCACGUAGGCGGAUCGUUAAGUCGGGGGUGAAAUCCUGGAGCUCAACUCCAGAACUGCCUUCGAUACUGGCGAUCUUGAGUCCGGAAGAGGUGAGUGGAACUCCUAGUGUAGAGGUGGAAUUCGUAGAUAUUAGGAAGAACACCAGUGGCGAAGGCGGCUCACUGGUCCGGUACUGACGCUGAGGUGCGAAAGCGUGGGGAGCAA
rnacentral:rRNA from 1 species